AAAUCCUUGGUGUGUCACCGAGGAUAACGUAAGGUAAAAUAAUGAUAUCACCUUACUAUUAGUGUCGUCCAAGCGCUCGUGCCAGAAGACUCGGUAAUACGAGAGACGCAAACGUUAUUCGUCUUGAUCAGGCGUAAAGGGUUUGUAGGCGGCUUUAAAUCUCCAAUUUUAAGUUUAUUAUUAUAAUGCUUUAUAAAUAAAGUGUAAUAAUAUUUAUUAAGUGAACAAUUAAAGCUAGAAUUUAAUAGAGGUUAAAACAAUACUUAAGGUAGGUGUACCAACCAUAGAUAAUAAGUAGAGUGUUAAGGGCGAAGGCUUUUAACCACUAAAGAUUAACGCUGAGAAACGAAAGUGAGGACAAAAAAAAGGAUUAGAUACCCUUGUAUCCCUCACUGUCAACGAUGAAUGGUAGUUACUAAGGAGAAAUAACUUAGAAACGAUGUUAACACGAAAACCAUUCCGCCUUGUGAGUACGACUGCAAAGUUAAAAACAAAAAAAUUAGUCGGUUUCG
rnacentral:rRNA from 1 species